GGAGAAAUGGCAGAGUGGUCGAAUGCGGCGGUCUUGAAAACCGUUGUACCGCAAGGUACCGGGGGUUCGAAUCCCUCUUUCUCCGCAA
rnacentral:tRNA from 2 species